rnacentral:rRNA from 1 species
AGUGAACGCUGGCGGUGGGCCUAACACAUGCAAGUCGAACGGCAGCACAGAGGAGCUUGCUCCUUGGGUGGCGAGUGGCGGACGGGUGAGGAAUACAUCGGAAUCUACUCUGUCGUGGGGGAUAACGUAGGGAAACUUACGCUAAUACCGCAUACGACCUACGGGUGAAAGCAGGGGAUCUUCGGACCUUGCGCGAUUGAAUGAGCCGAUGUCGGAUUAGCUAGUUGGCGGGGUAAAGGCCCACCAAGGCGACGAUCCGUAGCUGGUCUGAGAGGAUGAUCAGCCACACUGGAACUGAGACACGGUCCAGACUCCUACGGGAGGCAGCAGUGGGGAAUACUGGACAAUGGGCGCAAGCCUGAUCCAGCCAUACCGCGUGGUGAAGAAGGCCUUCGGGUUGUAAAGCCCUUUUGUUGGGAAAGAAAUCCAUCUGGUUAAUACCCGGGUGGGAUGACGGUACCCAAAGAAUAAGCACCGGCUAACUACGUGCCAGCCGCCGCGGUAA